UGAGGUUUCAGAAGCCCAGUGGCUCUCUGUUUUUCUGCUGCCCGUGGGUCCAGAUGUAGAACUUUCACCUCCUUUCCAGCACCAUGUCGGCCUGCAUGCUGCCAUGCUUCCCGCCAUGAUGAUAAGGGACUAAACCUCUGAACUGUAAGCCAACCCUAACCAAAUGUUUUCCUUUGUAAGAGCUGCCAUGGUCAUGGUGUCUUCACAGCAACAGAACACUGACUAAGACAACAGGUAAGUUCCUUUGGGUCCAUGUGUUCAGAGCAGGAAGAAGUGUAUGUCACCUAGGCCAAGCAUUCAGUUGCAAAGCCAAGCCACUCAGUGCUCUUUUCCAUCAAGCAUUGUGACAUCAGUGGUCAAAACACUGUUCUCUCUCACCAUCUGGACUCUGGGUGACUACAAUGUUCAGCAGCCCCACAACUGCCAUGGAGACUGUAAUUACUGCAGCCAUUCACUCAGAAGAGGGUUUGCCCCUGCAACUUUCACUGAUUUGUGUAACUAGCAGUGAAAUGAGAUUUACAUUCCUUUCUCCCAAGGUGGUCUUCUCUAAAAACCACAGCAAAAUGAUCAUCUGUAAACUGAGCUCAUGGUAAGCAAA